UAGAAUCGGUAUAUUCAAGCGAUGGAGGAGCUCACUAGGAGUCGGAACGUAAGAAAAGGUUGGAGGAGGAGCAACGUAGGAUAAAUCUUGAGUCAGAUGUCAAAGAACUCAAGAAUCAGGUGUGUAACCUCAUCAAGUUGCCUCGCUCUCCGCCCCCGAGCCCCGAUCAUGAUGAUGAUGGUGAGGAUGUAGAGGAUGAGGAGGAUCGGGGAGCAUGGAGAGGCUGAAAUGGAGUAUUAGGUGUCCGUUGUUAUUUUUGUUCUAACUUAUGUUAUUUUGGAUUGUUUGAAGUCUAGUGGGAUGGUAUAUGUUUGGAUAACAUUGACGUUGGUUGGAUUCGUACGUUUUUUGUUGGCUUAAUUUUAAUGUUUGAAUUA